CUGCCGCCGCCCGCCACGGCACCCGCCGCGGUGUUGGAUUUCACCGCCCGCUGCCGGGAGAUUACAUCAGCAAACACGGCCCUGGGGCGGGCCGGCCCCAACCCCAACCCCAAAACCCCAGCAGGUGAUGCCGCUAGGCGCUGCCCGCCGGGCUCCAGAUUACAGCUGCUGAGUUCCAGCCCCACUGCAAGGCACAUAACAGGAGCGGUUCUUAAGUGGUGUAAGAGGCAAGGAAAAAGGGUCCUAUCUGGAAUUCUCCUUCCAAAAUAAGUACAGGAGAAAGCAAUAAUCUUUCCAGAUACUUCGGUGACAUGAACAGAUCCCUCAUUUUUGGCAACAUCAUCUCUAUUGAGUCCAGUUUACCUCAGCAAAAUCCCAGUAACUGUAAAACACAGACAUGGGUUCUGUGGAAGAAGUCCAGAUUUCAGAAACUUGGUGGAAGAGAGAAGUAUUUCAGAUGCGCCUCUGACAGCCAGCCACAACUUGAUGCCUUCACUCUACUCCAUUUCCUGCACUUUGGAGGAUGGAAGAGAUUUUGAAGGCCUUUGGUUUAGCAAACUUGGUGAUAGGAAACAUCCUUCCAGGCUUCAUACUGACUGCUGGGAAGGAGGCAUGUGCUAGCAGCAACCCUUCCCCAGUUCUGCAUAUACAACCGUUAAUUCACAUGGAUCAAGGCAUGCAUCUGUUAGGAAAAAGAUCGUUUUAUCUUAAUGAUACUUUUGAGGAAAUGCUGGCACUGAAGACUGACCACUGCCAUCAGACCAUCACUGAGGAGUGGGAAGAGUCCCAAUGGCACCAGAGCUGUUUGUUCUGCACUACGGCAAUUUGUGCUGAAGUUACUCCAUGUGGCAGUUGGACAGAAAGAAAACGCCAAUCUUCAUUUUGUAUAGC